UGGGGCGUAGGCCAGUGGUAGGCCACGGGUUUUUGGUGCCCGGCGUCGUAGGUUCGAAUCCUACCGCCCCAG
rnacentral:tRNA from 1 species